rnacentral:lncRNA from 1 species
AACAGAUCAGAACACGGGUGCUGGCUAUGUUCAAGAUCAGUUGUGACAAGGACAUUGAAGCUGGAGGAAACACGUGACCCUUACCGUUCUAUCACCCUUGUCCUACAUGGCUUAAUAUAAUGAUUAAUAAUUCAUCACACCGGCCUAACUCCAGUCACCCAAAAGCACAUUAGUGCUUUAACCUGAAUGGGACAGUGAACUAAAGUAUGGUUUAUCUUCAUCAUGGAUACAAUGUGAAAUAUCUAUCAUGUGUUUUAAAGCUUGUGCUAUAAAAUGAGACCCAUUGAUAAUACUAAAUGAAACAACUAGGAUUUGUGAUUUAAACUAAUUGUUUGUGAUUUGAAUGAGAUAUGUUGAAAUUACUAGCAACUUUUUUUAUUCCUACUUCCUUUGUUGUAAAGCUAUCUGUAAUGUUUAACUUCUGAAUUGUGGAACAUGGAGCUGACAGUAUGGUAGCCAAGGGUUUCCUCACUCAUUUCAAUGCUAUUAUUGACUACCCAGGAACAUAUAUGAGCUCUAAAUAAUAUGGCUCAUGAAUGUAUCAUGUAAUGUGUUCCAGUCCCUGCGUUAAGUGCUUUUCAGACUUUCUGUGAUCUUGCUCUUUUCCCAAGGAAGAUACCACUGUUGCCUGCCACAACAUGUGACAAAGACUUUAAUGAGUAAAGAAACUUUCUUGAAUGUUCUGUGCCAAGAUUUUAAAUUAAAUUGGAUAAUUGAAUACAUUUGCUUUACCACC